rnacentral:rRNA from 1 species
UACGUAGGGCGCAAGCGUUGUCCGGAAUUAUUGGGCGUAAAGAGCUCGUAGGCGGCUUGUCACGUCGGGGUGUGAAAGCCCGGGGCUUAACCCCGGGUCUGCAUUCGAUACGGGGCUAGCUAGAGUGUGGUAGGGGAGAUCGGAAUUCCUGGUGUAGCGGUGAAAUGCGCAGAUAUCAGGAGGAACACCGGUGGCGAAGGCGGAUCUCUGGGCCAUUACUGACGCUGAGGAGCGAAAGCGUGGGGAGCGAACAGG